CUUGCUGCAGCCAUCCAUCCUGUGACAGUUCUCUCAUACCGGGUUGAUAUUCAAAUAGAUGAAGAUAAUACUGGCCAUAUGAAGAUAAUACUGGCCAUACCAGUUUCAGUGAUAACUGAUGAUCAGAUAUGCCAUUUAUCCUGUGACAGUUCUCUCAGGCCACGUUCAUAGUCAAAUAGUUAAUAGUUGAAGGGAACACUGGCCGUGCCAGUUCAGUGAUCUCUGCUGCUGAUGCCAUCCUUUUUAUGACAGUUCUCUCAAACCUGUUGAUAGUAAAAAUAAAUGAAGAUAAUCUGUCAGCGGACACUUGGUUGUGUGGGCGCCGUGAUUCGUUGAGUCGCACGUUCAAGUCUCUCGCUGGAAGUUCAUUUUGAAUUUUCGCCAUUUGCGCGGAAAACUGUUUCUGUUGUUUAUUUAAAUUCGUAUUUUGU